GGAUUACAGGCAUGAGCUACCGCCCCAGCUAGUCCUUCUCGUUUAAAGGUCUGGCACACAGAGUCAGCUGGGCUUUAAACUGGUGCUCCUCUAGACCCUGGAGAAAAUGCCAAUAUCAGUCACCGUCUCAAACACCAUCAGAAAAAAGUCCUGAGAGAUAAUCGGUUGAAAAAAUGAAUAUUAGAAGAGGUUUUGAAUCCCACAUGCAAUUUCUCAGGCAAGUAAACAGUUCAUUCUUGCGUGGUGACAUUAAUGAUGUUAAUGUCAAAUGAAAGGCAGUUGGAAACCGUAGGGUGUUCUAGAACAAUUAGGUACUUUAAUCCAUCAAAACAAAGAAGAAGAAAGUAUAAACAGUCAAAUUCCUAGCUUAUUGGCUCCUAAGAUUCCUAAUAGCCAGUGGGAGUGGAGAGGAAAGAUUCCUCAAGUGGAUCCAGAUCCUACAAUGAUAUUCCUAAGAGCAUGAAAAGUCAGCCUGCAUCCUUGUUCUCACCAUGUCAAUGGGAUGUCGCCACCACCCAAAUACCACAGGAAUGGCUUGAUUUAUUCUUUCCCCUGGGUCAUCCCUUAAAAAACAGAUUAAUGUUCAAAUUAGGAACAACUUAAACAUUCAGGUGUGACGUUAGCAUUUGGUCACAUAUUUGCUUGGGCUGUUUCUGCCAUAGGUAAUCAAUCCGAUGGUAUUAGAACCCAGCUUUGGUUCCCGUUCAGUCUGGGCUCCAUUUAAACAGAGUUUCUCAUUCAUUCAUGCCCAGCCCUGAUUCUUUCAUCAGUCAGUUUUUCUGUGGCUUAUGUAGGUAUGGUGCAACCUUAGGCCAUCCCAGAUAAUUGACUGAUGGACAAUAGUGAUGACUUGUCACUCUCAGCUGUGAUCCACAUUCAUAAAGUGGCUUAUCGGAUAUUUCCUUAUCAAAUCUUUACAAAAACCUGAAGAGGCCGGUAUUAUUACUAGCUCUAUUUUGUAGAUGGGAUGCCAGCCUAUAUGUCAGACAGACCAAGUUUCAAAUCCUGGCUCACUCUCUCACUGUGUGACCUUGGGAAAGUUACUUAACCUCUCUGUGCCUCUGUUCUGUUAUCUCAAAUUCAUGAUGUCUACAUCGUCCUUGUGAUCCACAUAGCCCUUUUCUGGUGUAUUACUUUGCCAUCCCAGGCUCUGGGAUAGAGCAGGACACAGUGAGAAGGCACCGUCUAUGAACCAGGAAGCAGGCCCUUGCCAGACAUCAAAUCUGCCAGCCCCUGCAUCUUGGACUUUCCAGCCUCCUGAACAAAAUAUCUGUUGCAUAUUUAUCUGCUGAGAAAUAAAUAUCUGUUGUUUAAGCCA